rnacentral:rRNA from 1 species
AUUGAACGCUGGCGGCAGGCCUAACACAUGCAAGUCGAGCGAGCGGCGGACGGGUGAGUAAUGUAUGGGAAACUGCCUGAUGGAGGGGGAUAACUACUGGAAACGGUAGCUAAUACCGCAUACCAUCAGAUGUGCCCAGGUCGGAUUAGCUAGUAGGUGGGGUAAAGGCUUACCAAGGCGACGAUCCCUAACUGGUCUGAGAGGAUGAUCAGCCACACUGGAACUGAGACACGGUCCAGACUCCUACGGGAGGCAGCAGUGGGGAAUAUUGGACAAUGGGCGAAAGCCUGAUCCAGCCAUGCCGCGUGUGUGAAGAAGGGCUUCAGAUUGUAAAGCACUUUAAGUUGGGAGGCGUUACCAGCAGAAGAAGCACCGGCUAACUUCGUGCCAGCAGCCGCGGUAAUUC